CGGUGACUUCGAUUUGUGUGCGAAUUUCGCGACUGUACUGUAGUUGCUACUUGCUAAGCUCCUACCGUACCUCAAGCGACGCCAUCCCCACCCAUAUCUACAAAUGGCGUCACCAUCAGAUCACAAGGCCACCAUAAUCGACGGCAAGGCCAUCGCUCAGACCAUUCGAUCCGAAAUUGCCGAUGACGUCCGUCAACUCUCUGAGAAAUACGGCAAGGUUCCAGGAUUGGCUGUUGUCAUUGUAGGCAACCGAAAGGAUUCUCAAAGCUAUGUAAGUAUGAAAAGAAAGGCUUGUGCUGAAGUUGGGAUAAAGUCAUUUGAUAUAGACCUCCCAGAACAAAUAUCUGAAGCUGAGCUGAUCAGCAAGGUCCACGAGUUAAAUGCAAAUCCUGAUAUACAUGGAAUAUUGGUUCAGCUGCCUUUGCCAAAGCAUAUUAAUGAAGAGAAAGUCUUGAGUGAAAUCCAUCUCGAAAAGGAUGUGGAUGGCUUUCAUCCUCUUAACAUUGGCAAACUUGCAAUGAAAGGCAGAGAACCUCUUUUUGUUCCCUGUACCCCCAAGGGUUGUUUGGAACUUCUAUCACGAAGUGGUAUAAGCAUAAAGGGAAAAAAUGCUGUUGUUGUUGGCCGUAGCAACAUAGUCGGAUUACCGGUGUCACUGCUGCUUCUGAAAGCAGAUGCCACUGUUACCAUUGUUCAUUCCCGUUCCGAUGAUCAAGAAAGGAUCAUUCGUGGAGCUGACAUCAUUAUUGCAGCGGCUGGGCAAGCAAUGAUGAUCAAAGGCAGCUGGAUUAAACCUGGAGCUGCAGUUGUUGAUGUUGGGACAAAUGCUAUUGAUGACCCAAGCAAGAAAUCAGGUUAUAGGUUAGUGGGAGAUGUGGAUUACGAGGAAGCAUGUAAUGUAGCUGGAUGGAUUACCCCUGUUCCAGGUGGUGUGGGUCCAAUGACUGUUGCAAUGCUACUCAAGAACACCUUGGAUGGUGCAAAGCGCGUAUUCAUGCAGUAAUUGUCCAUGUUUAUUCUCUUUCAAAUACAUUUUUGCCAAUUUUGUUAAUAAGGAAGCUCUAUCCGCUGUUUUCAAUUCAUAAUUAAGCUCUUGAUUUUACAGGAAACGCUUCAUAUACAAGCAUGUUAAAAAUCCUUGCUCUUAGUGUUUUCGCUUUUAUUUUUUUUUUAAGCAAAAUGUGAAAUUAU
rnacentral:misc_RNA from 1 species